rnacentral:rRNA from 1 species
GUUGUAAACUCCUUUCGCCAAAGACGAAUUUUGACGGUAUUUGGAGAAGAAGCACCGGCUAACUACGUGCCAGCAGCCGCGGUAAUACGUAGGGUGCGAGCGUUGUCCGGAAUUACUGGGCGUAAAGAGCUCGUAGGUGGUUUGUCGCGUCGUUUGUGGAAGUCCACGGCUUAACUGUGGGACUGCAGGCGAUACGGGCAUAACUUGAGUGCUGUAGGGGAGACUGGAAUUCCUGGUGUAGCGGUGAAAUGCGCAGAUAUCAGGAGGAACACCGAUGGCGAAGGCAGGUCUCUGGGCAGUAACUGACGCUGAGGAGCGAAAGCAUGGGGAGCGAACAGGAUUAGAUACCCUGGUAGUCCAUGCCGUAAACGGUGGGCGCUAGGUGUGAGUCCCUUCCACGGGGUUCGUGCCGUAGCUAACGCAUUAAGCGCCCCGCCUGGGGAGUACGGCCGCAAGGCUAAAACUCAAAGGAAUUGACGGGGGCCCGCACAAGCGGCGGAGCAUGUGGAUUAAUUCGAUGCAACGCGAAGAACCUUACCUGGGCUUGACAUACACCGGAUCGGGCUAGAGAUAGUCUUUCCCUUUGUGGCUGGUGUACAGGUGGUGCAUGGUUGUCGUCAGCUCGUGUCGUGAGAUGUUGGGUUAAGUCCCGCAACGAGCGCAACCCUUGUCUUAUGUUGCCAGCACGUGAUGGUGGGGACUUAUGAGAAACUGCCGGGGUUAACUCGGAGGAAGGUGGGGAUGACGUCAAAUCAUCAUGCCCCUUAUGUCCAGGGCUUCACACAUGCUACAAUGGUCGGUACAACGCGCAGCUACCUCGUGAGGGGAUGCGAAUCGCUGAAAGCCGGUCGUAGUUCGGAUUGGGGUCUGCAACUCGACCCCAUGAAGUCGGAGUCGCUAGUAAUCGCAGAUCAGCAACGCUGCGGUGAAUACGUUCCCGGGCCUUGUACACACCGCCCGUCACGUCAUGAAAGUUGGUAACACCCGAAGCCAGUGGCCUGUCAAAGGGAGCUGUCGAAGGUGGGAUCGGCGAUUGGGACGAAGUCGUAACAAGGUAGCCGUACCGGAAGGUGCGGCUGGAUCACCUCCUUUCUAAGGAG